UCUUCCUGAACAGGUGAGCAGGUCACUGCCUUCUUCCUGAACAGGUGAGCAGGCUGCUGCCCUCUUCCAGGCAGCCAUCUUCUUGUGGGUUCCAAGUGAGCGACUGCAUUCUGGCUCUACAACUGGCUGUCCUGUGUCCUCAAGUUUGUUAGCAAAGUAUUUUU